GGGGAAUCUUAGACAAUGGGCGCAAGCCUGAUCUAGCCAUGCCGCGUGAUCGAUGAAGGCCUUAGGGUUGUAAAGAUCUUUCAGCUGGGAAGAUAAUGACGGUACCAGCAGAAGAAGCCCCGGCUAACUCCGUGCCAGCAGCCGCGGUAAUACGGAGGGGGCUAGCGUUGUUCGGAAUUACUGGGCGUAAAGCGCACGUAGGCGGAUUGGAAAGUCAGAGGUGAAAUCCCAGGGCUCAACCUUGGAACUGCCUUUGAAACUCCCGGUCUUGAGUUCGAGAGAGGUGAGUGGAAUUCCGAGUGUAGAGGUGAAAUUCGUAGAUAUUCGGAGGAACACCAGUGGCGAAGGCGGCUCACUGGCUCGAUACUGACGCUGAGGUGCGAAAGCGUGGGGAGCAAAC
rnacentral:rRNA from 1 species